GCCAGACUCCUACGGGAGGCAGCAGUGGGGAAUAUUGCACAAUGGGGGAAACCCUGAUGCAGCGACGCCGCGUGAAGGACGAAGUAUUUCGGUACGUAAACUUCUAUCAGCAGGGAAGAAAAUGACGGUACCUGACCAAGAAGCCCCGGCUAACUACGUGCCAGCAGCCGCGGUAAUACGUAGGGGGCAAGCGUUAUCCGGAUUUACUGGGUGUAAAGGGAGCGUAGACGGCCAUGCAAGUCUGAUGUGAAAGCCCGGGGCUCAACCCCGGGACUGCAUUGGAAACUGUGCGGCUGGAGUGUCGGAGAGGCAAGUGGAAUUCCUAGUGUAGCGGUGAAAUGCGUAGAUAUUAGGAGGAACACCAGUGGCGAAGGCGGCUUGCUGGACGACGACUGACGUUGAGGCUCGAAAGCGUGGGGAGCAAACAGGAUUAGAUACCC
rnacentral:rRNA from 1 species